UAACACAUGUACACCCUCAUUCCGGUUCACGAACGGCGAUUGGAUUCCAAUCCGUUCGAGUUCGAAUAGUUUGCAUUUUACCUUACGCAAUCCUAAAGGGCGGUGAAUUUCGAAUUCGAACUUUCAUCGCAGCAGUCAGACAUCUGUGAAACCAAAACAAAAACAAAAACGGCAAAUGGUUUUAAAAGUUAUAGUUUCUGCAGCAAAUUAUUUAUUAUGCAUUCGUCUACAUUUGAAUUAAAGAGAGGUAAGCGGCCACAAAAGGUUACUCAGCUGGAGGUGCUGGAACCGGGUUUUGCGCUUGAAGAUCAUUAACUGCCACAUCCGCAGCAACCGGCCUGGGAAGCGAUGACAACUAAUAAAUUCGGCUUGAAACGAUGACCGAAAUCGCUGUUACAGUAAAUCCAUUGCUGUUAUGGUUUUUACAAUCAUAUGGAAUCAAGGCUACGUGCGGUUACGCUUCCUGGAAGAUGGUUCACAGCGGUUCGAGGUCAUCGUUAGCUAACAUUUGCCGUGUAUAUUGAGUAAUUUCUAGUUUUUUUUUAAUAUUUCAAAUAUGGCUUAUUUCAAGAAGAAAUGUAACCUUUCAGUGUUAAGGUGAGGUUUAAGCGGCUAUUACAUAUACAGUGGGGUAAAAAUCGUGAUUUUUAAAGAUUUUGCUUGAAUUUUCACCAGGAAUUGUUUAGAUCGAUAUUGCAGCCAAAUAAUGAAAGAUAGAAGUUGGGCGUCAAAGAACAAAUUGUAGAGUGGUUCAAGAACAUUAAUUUAAUUGGUAGAAACAAUCUAGUUCAAUUUAAAAUUUUAGGAUAAAAUUAAUAAAAACACAUUAAAAAUGA